GACGAACGCUGGCGGCGUGCCUAAUACAUGCAAGUCGAGCGAGCGGAACCAACAGAUUUACUUCGGUAAUGACGUUGGGAAAGCGAGCGGCGGAUGGGUGAGUAACACGUGGGGAACCUGCCCCUAAGUCUGGGAUACCAUUUGGAAACAGGUGCUAAUACCGGAUAAUAAAGCAGAUCGCAUGAUCAGCUUUUGAAAGGCGGCGUAAGCUGUCGCUAAGGGAUGGCCCCGCGGUGCAUUAGCUAGUUGGUAAGGUAACGGCUUACCAAGGCGACGAUCAGUAGCCGACCUGAGAGGGUGACCGGCCACAUUGGGACUGAGACACGGCCCAA
rnacentral:rRNA from 1 species